GGGACUAAACGAAUGCUUUACCUUGCAAGACGAACGGCAGCGCGGGGGCAACCCUGGCGGCGAGUGGCGAACGGGUGAGUAAUGUAUCGGAACGUAUCCUGUAAUGGGGGAUAACCAGUCGAAAGAUUGGGUAAUACCGCAUACGCACGAGAGUGGAAAGUGGAGGAUCGCAAGACUUCACGUUAUAGGAGCGGCCGAUAUCUGAUUAGCUAGUUGGUGGGGUAAAGGCCUACCAAGGCGACGAUCAGUAGCAGGUCUGAGAGGAUGAUCUGCCACACUGGGACUGAGACACGGCCCAGACUCCUACGGGAGGCAGCAGUGGGGAAUUUUGGACAAUGGGCGAAAGCCUGAUCCAGCCAUGCCGCGUGCAGGAAGAAGGCCUUCGGGUUGUAAACUGCUUUAGUCCGGGAAAAAGGGGUGCGGGAUUAAUACUCUCGUGCUUUGAUGGUACUGGAAGAAUAAGCACCGGCUAACUACGUGCCAGCAGCCGCGGUAAUACGUAGGGUGCGAGCGUUAAUCGGAAUUACUGGGCGUAAAGCGUGCGCAGGCGGUCUUGUAAGACAGUCGUGAAAUCCCUGGGCUUAACCUAGGAACUGCGAUUGUGACUGCAAGGCUAGAGUGUGUCAGAGGGGGGUGGAAUUCCACGUGUAGCAGUGAAAUGCGUAGAGAUGUGGAGGAACACCGAUGGCGAAGGCAGCCCCCUGGGAUAACACUGACGCUCAUGCACGAAAGCGUGGGGAGCAAACAGGAUUAGAUACCCUGGUAGUCCACGCCCUAAACGAUGUCGACUGGUUGUUGGGUGGGUAACCACUUAGUAACGAAGCUAACGCGUGAAGUCGACCGCCUGGGGAGUACGGUCGCAAGAUUAAAACUCAUAGGAAUUGACGGGGACCCGCACAAGCGGUGGAUGAUGUGGUUUAAUUCGAUGCAACGCGAAAAACCUUACCUACACUUGACUUGUCAGAGAUCCCGCAGAGAUGU
rnacentral:rRNA from 1 species